AUUGAACGCUGGCGGCAGGCCUAACACAUGCAAGUCGAGCGAGCGGCGGACGGGUGAGUACUGUAUGGGGACUGCACGAUAGAGGGGGAUAACUACUGGAAACGGUAACAAAUACCGCAUACUAUCGGAUAACCCAGAUGGGAUUAGCUAGUAGGUGAGGUAAUGGCUCACAUCGGCGACGAUCCCUAGCUGGUCUGAGAGGAGGAUCAGCCACACUGGGACUGAGACACGGCCCAGACGCCUACGGAGGCAGCAGUGGGGAAUAGUGGACAAUGGGCGCAAGCCUGAUGCAGCCAUGCCGCGUGUAUGAAGAAGGCCCUAGGGUUGUAAAGUACUUUCAGUCGGGAGGCGUUACCGACAGAAUAAGCACCGGCUAACUCCGUGCCAGCAGCCGCGGUAAUUC
rnacentral:rRNA from 1 species